UAGCAACUAUUCGAUAAUUUUAAUAUUUUUACUCCUAUCUACAUUAUUUUAAUAAUGCACGGCACUCAUGGAAAACAGGUAUUAAUAAUGUAUUUCCAUAUUUUGUUAUUUGUAAUGUCCCUUGUCUAUUUUAUUGUAAAUCCUGAUGAGUCUACCGUGGUUAAAUAAAGUUCACUUACUUACUUACUUACUAUAAACAAUACGAACAUUUUACCGAGAUUUCCGGCCCCCCUUUGAGCACUCCGGCCCCUGGUAUUUUGCCCCCCCCCUCCUGCCCCCCCCUCUCGCCGGCCUUGCAGAAAACCACAGAUUGCGAACGUGACCUUGGCGUCUGGACCUCCUCCACCCACAUGGUCCAAACAAGUCCUCCACCAGUACGCCAAAGCCAACAAAUCCGUCGGGUAUAUUCGACGGUCCACGAUCAAAAUCUAGACUAUCUCUGUUCGACGGAAUCUAUAUCUUGCACUCGUUUGUUCCCACCUCGCAUACGCGUCCCAAGUCUGGGCUCCACAAACUGUUGACCUCAUUAAGCGUACAGAACGCGUUCAAAGACAUGCCAGUAUGGAAUGUAACUUUUUCGUGCACCGGACAAGGAAGUUGAUCAUUUUUUGUGUCCACCAUUGGUUUGUCUAACCGGUCGAAAAUUUAUGCACCACCGAAUUUUUCACUUCUUUAAAUCUCGUGCCGAUUGCCAAAGGCACGAGACUGAUCUCCAAAGACGCGAGAUACCUGGGGGGUGCAGGAGCAUGCACUCCCGAGAAAUUUUUAAAUUUAAAGUCUCUGAAAUACCAUUUCCUGGACUUUGGCGGAAGAUUUUACACAAUGGACCAUUUGCAUUAUAGACUAAAUUUUGAUCUAGACAAAAAUUUCAUCACAGCUUGAAAGAGCAUCACAAAAUUAGUAAUAUUCCAAAGUUUUGUUGCGAAAUGUUGUAAAAUGCGGAUAAUAUAGCCAUGCGAAGUUUGCCGUUUUUCAGUCAUUUUGUAUUACGCACGGGAAAUUGACAGACCAAUCGGGUGUUGGGGCAUCAAUUUCCCGUUAGUAAUCUAAAAUGACUGAAAAUUGCAAAUUUCGCAAGGCUAUAUUUUCCGCAUUUUACAACAUUUCGCAACGCAACUUUGGAAUAUUACUAAUUUUGUGAUGCUCUUUCAAGCUGUGAUGAAAUAUUUGUCUAGAUCAAAAUUUAGUCUAUAAUGCAAAUGGUCCAUUCUGAUGGUCAGAAAAAAACAUUAUAAAAUCCAAGUUUACAUUUUCCUUGGAAAGUCAAUUUUUCUCGGAAAGCCUUCGAAAUAUUAUUUAACUCAAAGUUUCUAGUGGUCAGCAGUAAUGCAGUAUGUACGCGCACUUCAUUUAGUUUACGUUCUAUUGGAUCCAUAGAUCAAAAGGGAAUAUAUUGUCCAAAGCGGUAAACGGCAAAGCCUAUCCCACUCAGGUCUACACAUUUCAGAUACUUUCCAGAAGUAGAACUAAUAUUCUGAAUUUUGAAUUAUGCACCAGUGCGCCACGCUUGUGAUGUUACUCUGAGUGUAUAUCCACACCGGGCAAGCUUGAAAACUAUGCCUGGGUACAUUACACCAACAUAGAAAAAAUAAAAAUAUUCAGUAGCUUUUAAAUAUGUUAAGGGGCGGACCAUUUGAUUUUUGAGGUUGGAAGAUUUCGAAAAAAAAGUUUCCUGCAAUCCAAGGAGAAAGGAAAAAAAGCAUGCAGCAUACAAUCAAGAAAAAAAAUAUCAUGCAAAAGAGAGCGCUCAAAAAAAAAUUCCUACAUGCAUAUCUACUGAUGUUCUUCACUUCAGUAUUGUGUCCACAGGCUUGCAAGAUUUUGCAUUUUUUAGCAGGCACAUUUGCUUAAAAGAACACGAGGUGAACAGUGGACAACAUCACAGGGAUUCUACCGCCUUUGAAGCCUAUAACAUACGAUAGCCAGUGGCGUUCCCUGCCAAAAUGAUGCCCCCCAUGUCACAUCCGUCCCUGGAUGGGGAGGGUUACACUGCUACAAAAUUAAGUUAUACUUUGUUGUCUGCAUAGUCUAUCAAGAUAUGAUGAUCUGGAAACUAAACAUAAGUCAUUGCUUGAUGUUUUUGUCGGAGGUUAUGUUAAUUUGUGCACGGUCACGGUGAUUGAGCUCAUUGUAUUUUCGUAUAAUUAAGUAACCGUCCAAUAGGGAUAGCUGAUAUGAAACGUGUAACUACAAUCAAUAAUAUUCAAUGAAGUUGAGACAAAGGAUUUGUGCAUGGUGAGGUAUAGUUCAACAUCAAACAAAGAUCUUAUCAUAUCUUGACAGACUAUCGCAUGUGUUCUAAAAGCUUAAAGCUCACUCAC
rnacentral:lncRNA from 1 species